rnacentral:rRNA from 1 species
GGAUUGUAAACCUCUGUUGACGGAGAAAAAAAUGAUGGUAUCCGUUUAGAAAGCCACGGCUAACUACGUGCCAGCAGCCGCGGUAAUACGUAGGUGGCAAGCGUUGUCCGGAAUUACUGGGUGUAAAGGGAGUGUAGGCGGGAUAUCAAGUCAGAAGUGAAAAUUACGGGCUCAACUCGUAACCUGCUUUUGAAACUGACAUUCUUGAGUGAAGUAGAGGCAAGCGGAAUUCCUAGUGUAGCGGUGAAAUGCGUAGAUAUUAGGAGGAACACCAGUGGCGAAGGCGGCUUGCUGGGCUUUUACUGACGCUGAGGCUCGAAAGCGUGGGGAGCAAACAGGAUUAGAUACCCUGGUAGUCCACGCCGUAAACGAUGAUUACUAGGUGUGGGGGGAUUGACCCCUUCCGUGCCGGAGUAAACACAAUAAGUAAUCCACCUGGGGAGUA